UGGGGAAUAUUGCGCAAUGGGCGAAAGCCUGACGCAGCGACGCCGCGUGUGGGAUGACGGCCUUCGGGUUGUAAACCACUGUCGGGAGGGACGAAGAUCUGACGGUACCUCCAAAGGAAGCACCGGCUAACUCUGUGCCAGCAGCCGCGGUAAUACAGAGGGUGCGAGCGUUGUCCGGAAUCACUGGGCGUAAAGGGCGCGUAGGCGGCCUGAUAAGUAGGGGGUGAAAUCUCGCGGCUCAACUGCGAGGCUGCCUCCUAAACUGUCGGGCUUGAGCACAGUAGAGGCAGGUGGAAUUCCCGGUGUAGCGGUGGAAUGCGUAGAGAUCGGGAAGAACAUCGGUGGCGAAGGCGGCCUGCUGGGCUGUUGCUGACGCUGAGGCGCGACAGCGUGGGGAGCAAACAGG
rnacentral:rRNA from 1 species